rfam:Recombinant Hepacivirus C SA13fl, complete genome
CCAUUAGCUGACGCCGACCGGCUGGACUUGUCCAGCUGGUUUACCGUUGGCGCCGGCGGGGGGGACAUUUAUCACAGCAUGUCCCGUGCCCGACCCCGCUGCAUACUCCUGUGCCUACUCCUACUUAGCGUGGGGGUAGGCAUCUUUUUACUCCCUGCUCGGUAAGCUGGGAGCUAA